rnacentral:lncRNA from 1 species
AUGCUCAUUUGCUAUUUUUAGGUUGUGGUUGCCGGCUAUACCGGUUUGCUGUCCACUGGUUAUUUUUGGAUCACCUUUACUACUUUGAUUCCAUGUUGCUUGUGUGUGAAAAUUUAAGGCGAGCUCCAUCUCGUACAUGGAAUACAACACCUCCCCAACAUUUCAUCCCAAAUAAGGUGUCGUAGGCAUGGGAAAAUGAAAAUAAAAAGGAGAAGAAAAAACUAAACAAAAACAUAAAUGGGACAAACACAUAUAAUAAAAAAAGAUACAAAACAACAAAGAGAAAAAAAGGAAAAUAUUUUUGUUGUUGUGUAUUUAAAAAGGUUCAUCGCGUAUUUUAAUAUCGUGCAUACAAAAAGUUAAUCAUGUAUUUAAUCAAUAUUCACAGGUAUUGCUAAAUGUUGAACAUUAUUUGAAAAAUAUUCAUGAUGAAUUAAAUAAUAUCCAACGUGUAUUUAAAUAAUAUCCAUCAUGUACUGCAAAAUGUAAAUCGUGCAUCAAAAAUAUUUUAUCUUCUGUAUUUCUAAAUGUUCAUCAUGCAUUUAAAAACAUUUAUUAUAUAUUAAAAAUAUUCAUCACAUAACAAAACAAGUUUAGCGUGACUUUUUUAACAGUCUUCACUGUGUAUUUUAAAAAUGUGCCGGUACUUCAAAGAAUACUCACAUAUUUAAAAUAUGUUCAUUGUAUGUUUCAGAAUGUUCAACAUCUACAUAAACAGUCAUUCAUGCAUUUAUGAAAAUUUUACCAUAUAUUUUGAAAAAAGCUCAUUGGAUAAUUUAGAAAAUAUUCAUCAUGUAUCUCAAAAAUGUUAAUCUAGUCUUCAUAACAGUUUAUAAUAUAUUUAAAAAAGUCCAUCUGUUAUUAAAAACAUUUAUCUUGUGUUCUUAAAAAAUUCAUCAUGUAAUUUAAAAAUAGUCAUUGAGUAUUAGAAAUUAUUCAUCGCAUAGCAAAAAAGAUUAUACAGAAUUUAUAAUUUUUGAAAAAGUUUGUGUGUUAUAAGAUAAAUAUUCAUCCAAUUAAUGUGUACGGGAAAUUGAAAACAAGAAGAAAAAUAAGAAAUAAAACUAAAAGAUAAAUGGUACAAGCACAACUAAUAAAAAAGACGAAAAAGAAGGAAAAUCAAAGACAUACAAAGAUUAAAUGAAAAAUGGUUCUAAAAAUGGAGUAAUUGGAAAUGAGGAAAAAAAAGGUUAAUGACGGCUACCGUAACACCUUGUCCAGACAUUUACUAGGAAAAUAAGCUCAAAUACGUGAAAGCCAAAAAGGGGAUAAGAGUAUUAAGAAGCCCAGAUAGAAAUGGCCAAAAUAAAUGACAGCUGUCGUAAAGCCAUGUCCAAAUAUCUGUCCAAUCAUGCUCAUUUCCUAUUUUCAGGUUGCGGUUGACGGUUAAAACGGGUUGAUGUCCACUGGUUAUUUCUGGAUCACUUUUACUACUUCGAUUCCAUGUUGAUUGCGUCUAACAAUUCAGCCCCAGCUCCAUCGCGUAUUCUCUCUCAAAAAAUGCCCCAUCUCGUACAUGGGAUAUAAGAGCUUCUCCAACACCUCCCCAACAUUUCAUUCCAAAUAAGGGUGUUACAGGCAUGGGAAAAUGAAAAAUAAAAAGGAGAAGAAAA